AACCCAAAAUAAGAAAAAGCGACGGAUAAGUUCAGGCAAAAACAAGAUGAGAUAAAUCAGAAUACCCAACAAAAAAUUCACAAUUGAGCAAAACCAGGAGCAGGAACAUGGGAAGAAGCACAAAGACGGAGCAAAAACAAAACUGUCUAUUCAGUCUCACUUACCAUGAACACAUUUAGUUUAUUCGCUGUUGGAGUUUUAGAAGAAAUGUUAUCAGCAAGCUGUUCUGCAUGCUAACACAAGAUGAACAAGGAUCACCCGUGAGUGACAAACCUUUGUGUUUACCUACUAUUUCAUGUCAAAACGGCUGCUGUGAAAAAAAAGUCUAUUUGUUUUGGCUAUGACCAGGCAAGGCCUUUGAGAAAAUCACAGAAAGGUCCCCAAGAUGAGUGAGGAGCAAGAAAAUAAUGAUGAGAUAACCAGUCUUCGAAUCAACAUCAAGCUUAGUUCAUUGACCCUGCAUUGAAAAAAUAAAUUCAACACAUA